rnacentral:tRNA from 1 species
UCCCUGAUAGCUCAGUUGGUAAAGAAUCUGCCUGCAAUGCAGGAGACCCUGGUUCGAUUCCUGGGCCAGGAA